AUGGCGACAGGGGGAGGAGGGGCUUGCGUCCUCGCGCGUGUGUGGGCUUUCGUGGGCUGGUCUCUCCACGGUCAAGCACGGCGCUGGUGUUGGGUAUCAUGGUGUGGCGGUGCUUGCGUGUGACGGUGCCCUGCGGCGGUGGCGGUGGACCGAGGAGCCUGCAGUGCAGCGGGUUAAGACCCACGCUGCCUGUCGACCUAAUCUAGGCGUGGCGACUAGAUUAGGUCGACAGGCAGCGUGGGUUGCGGCAGCAAGGGCCGAUGGCUGUGGCUCUGCCUCCCAGCGAUGGUGGCUGUCUGUUGGGAAAUGCAGCAGAAAACAAAAAAAAAAUCACCCUCGGCCAUUCAAGAAUAAUAUGAAGAUGCAUUAAGCGGUUUGAUGUGCAACAUUGAGUUGCCCUAAUUCCAAAAGAUGUUUGGCAGUUAGGUACUUAGGUUCUUUCGGAUUAAUGGGAGUUGCCGUAAGUAUCGCCAUCCAACGCCGAUUCGCAUUAGUACUCAAGGUAAUUGAUUUCUCCAUUUACAGAAGGAAAAUCAAUCAACUCAUAAGAUUAUCAUCACACGACUACAUAUUGGCAUGUACAUCAAUCAUCAUCAGCAUCAUCUGGACUGGACUAGAGGGGCAAUCAUUUUCACUAAAAUGCCAGGCAAAAGGUCAAGUCAGGGAGUGGUAAAUUCGCAGCAUCAAUGCUCGACUCCAGGGUGGUAGACAAA
rnacentral:lncRNA from 1 species